CUCAUAAGGCUUGUGCUUAGGCAACAUUUAUUAAUAUUUCUGUUUUAUGUUUUGUGAUUAAAUUCACGCAGGUGGUGUCCAGAGCUCUUAUACAAUCUUGUUGCGGUGCAUGAUUUGAAAAAGCUGAUUAAAAGAGGAAUGGAAAAAUAGCAGCAAACUUAAUUUGACUCUUCUAAUUAGCGUAAUAAUUUCCUUUAAAUUUCAUCCUUUCAGGUAAAAGACAAUGGAAUUUUUCUGAUAACAUGAAGAGCUGGUAGAUGAUGGGAUUUUUCUUUCUUAUUCAUACUUUUUUCUCUCCUCCUUUGAAUUUGGAGGGAAAGAUGUUUCAGCUAAAGACUGUUUCUAUGGACAAAAAACAAAACAAAACAAAAAAAAAAAAAACAACCCCAAACCAAAAAAACUUCAACUGUGUUUCUACAAGUUUGUGUGUGGUUUAUUUUUUGUCAAAGAGAAUUUUAAAUAGCUCCAAAGUUCUUAAAUCUUUAACAGUCUAUAAAAUAAGAAUUAUUAUUUAUUUUUUUUAGACUACCAAAACAUUCAGCUCUGUUCUCUUUCAUCCACUGUGGCCUUAAUGUGUAAAGCUGUCAAACUAGAAAUAUCCUCUCACUAAGGAAAACUAUGCUGUUAGCUUCUAAGUAGUUAGCUGUCUUUAAAGACAAAGCUACUACAUAUUAUAAUCUGUGUACCUGAUGACAAAGUUCUCGUUAUUGUGUUACGAGAGGAAAUGUCUUGUUGCAGUAAUGAAAUUUAACUCUGUGGGUCAAAUUAUGUUAUUCUCACUGUUAAUUUUUAGGUGUUACAUGAGAGUCUCAUCUACUUUCUCCCAAAAUUAAGAAGUUGACUAUUAAGAUAGCAGUUCCUGCUCUAAAAAGGUGAAAUAUAAAUAAGGGAUACCAAGGUGCUGAUGGGAUGGAAUAUACCCAGAGUUUACCUUGAGAUUCAGAAUAACUUUUUGGCAACGCUGCCUGCUUGGAGUCCGUGACUGUUACUUCAGCGUAAUCAGAAGAGGAAUGCCUCCACAUUCCAUGUAUUAAACACGUGGAAAGAUCUCUGUAAGGUGGGUAGGUCUGUCUUCGUGUUCUGUGUGUUUGCUCAGUAGUUUUCUGUUUUUACUUCGUAGCAACAAUGUUUU